rnacentral:rRNA from 1 species
AGUGAACGCUGGCGGUAGGCCUAACACAUGCAAGUCGAACGGCAGCACAGUAAGAGCUUGCUCUUACGGGUGGCGAGUGGCGGACGGGUGAGGAAUACAUCGGAAUCUACUUUUUCGUGGGGGAUAACGUAGGGAAACUUACGCUAAUACCGCAUACGACCUACGGGUGAAAGCAGGGGAUCUUCGGACCUUGCGCGAUUGAAUGAGCCGAUGUCGGAUUAGCUAGUUGGCGGGGUAAAGGCCCACCAAGGCGACGAUCCGUAGCCGAUCUGAGAGGAUGAUCGGCCACACUGGAACUGAGACACGGUCCAGACUCCUACGGGAGGCAGCAGUGGGGAAUCUUGCACAAUGGGCGAAAGCCUGACCGAGCAAAGCCGCGUGGGUGAUGAAGGUCUUCGGAUCGUAAAACUCUUUUUUUAGGAAAGAAAAGAAGUGGAUGAAUCCCUGCUUAUCUUGACGGUACCUAAACAGAAAGCCCCGGCUAACUUCGUG